rnacentral:sRNA from 1 species
UUUACUGAUACACCACAGCAAUAAAACGUUGAGACUGUUCAACACAGGUAUUAAACAAAAAGUCGGUGUAGCCUAUGAUUACUGCAAAUAUGAAAUACUGGUCGUGGAUGGGGGCGUUCUCACUUUCGCUGCUCUUCUGGGCUGAACUUAUCUGGGUUAUCGCCAGGUAAUAUCCUCGUUCUGUCGGAUGACGGCGCAAACCCCGCUCCGUCUGCUCAGCGAAACAUCGUCAGUUGCUUCUGCUCUUACCAGACCUCGCUACGGCGAGGUUUUGUUUUU